AGCCCCCUCGUCUAGAGGUAAGGACGCGAGGCUCUGGACCUCGAGACAUCGGUUCGAAUCCGAUGGGGGCUA
rnacentral:tRNA from 1 species